AGAAUUUCGCCGAUAGAUUAGCCCGCGUUCGAUUAGAGUUGGUGGGAUAACGGCCCACCAAGGCGACGAUCGAUAGCUGUUCUGAGAGGAAGAUGCCACACUGGGACUGAGACACGGCCCAGACUCCUACGGGAGGCAGCAGUUGGGAAUCUGACAAUGGGGGAAACCCUGAUCCAGCCAUGCCGCGUGAGUGAUGAAGGCCUUCGGGUUAAAACUCUUUCGACGGGGACGAUAAUGACGGUACCCGUAGAAGAAGCUCCGGCUAACUGUGCCAGCAGCCGCGGUAAUACGAAGGGGGGCUAGCGUUGUUCGGAAUUACUGGGCGUAGCGCGCGCAGGCGGUCUUCCAAGUCAGUGGUGAAAGCCUGGAGCUCAACUCCAGAACCCAUUGAAACUGUUAGACUUGAGUACGAGAGAGGUGAGUGGAAUUCCCAGUGUAGAGGAAAUUCGUAGAUAUUGGGAAGAACACCAGUGGCGAAGGCGGCUCACUGGCUCGUAACUCGCUCAGGCGCGACAGCGUGGGGAUCAAACAGGAUUAGAUACCCUGGUAGUCCACGCCAAACGAUGAAUGCUAGCCGUUGGGUAGCUUGCUAUUCAGUGGCGCAGCUAACGCAUAA
rnacentral:rRNA from 1 species